UACGUAGGGGCCGAGCGUUGUCCGGAGUUAUUGGGCGUAAAGCGCGCGCAGGCGGCUUCGCGCGCCCGCCGUGAAAGCCCCCGGCUUAACCGGGGAGAGUCGGUGGGGACGGCGGAGCUUGAGGGCGGGAGAGGUCGGUGGAAUUCCCGGUGUAGUGGUGAAAUGCGUAGAGAUCGGGAGGAACACCUGUGGCGAAGGCGGAUCUCUGGGCCGAUACUGACGCUGAGGAGCGAAAGCGUGGGGAGCGAACAGG
rnacentral:rRNA from 1 species